rnacentral:rRNA from 1 species
AUUGAACGCUGGCGGCAGGCUUAACACAUGCAAGUCGAGCGGAUGAAGGGAGCUUGCUCCUGGAUUCAGCGGCGGACGGGUGAGUAAUGCCUAGGAAUCUGCCUGGUUGUGGGGGAUAACGUCCGGAAACGGGCGCUAAUACCGCAUACGUCCUGAGGGAGAAAGAGGGGGAUCUUCGGACCUCACGCUAUCAGAUGAUCCUAGGUCGGAUUAGCUAGUUGGUGGGGUAAAGGCCUACCAAGGCGACGAUCCGUAACUGGUCUGAGAGGAUGAUCAGUCACACUAGAACUGAGACACGGUCCAGACUCCUACGGGAGGCAGCAGUGGGGAAUAUUGGACAAUGGGCGAAAGCCUGAUCCAGCCAUGCCGCGUGUGUGAAGAAGGUCUUCGGAUUGUAAAGCACUUUAAGUUGGGAGGAAGGGCAGUAAGUUAAUACCUUGCUGUUGUGACGUUACCAACAGAAUAAGCACCGGCUAACUACGUG